GCCGCUAUCGUCUAGGGGUUAGGACAGGUGGUUCUCAGCCAUCAGACCGGGGUUCGAUUCCCCGUAGCGGUACCA
rnacentral:tRNA from 1 species